UCCUUCCUUCCUUCCUUCCUUCCUUCCUUCCUUUCCGCCCCUUUCUCUCUUUUUCUUGCUUUUUAUGUGGCCUAAAGUUUCAUUGCUUGUCUUCAGUGGCUAUAGCUGGAGAGGGGAGGGCAAAGAAUUUCCUGGGCUAAAUCUACAGUUACCUAUGAAUAAAAGUCAUGUUAUUUUGCUUGGCGCUCUCUUUCGAGGAAGUGGAACUGAAUGGUGGCGACACAUUACGUUUUAAGGUCCUUAGGAACCAGGGUUUGUAGGAGUUUAUAGAGCUAGCGUUGUUCGACGUGUGAAAACACAGUGGGGCAGGUACCUGUGGCAUGAUUAGAUUUUGCUUCUAGCAAUGUUGGUUGACGAGGAAGAGCGUGUAACGUAGGUCUUCAUAUUCACAGCGUUUUCUUUUCGCCUGUUUGUUGCACCUGCUGUGCCAAAUUUACUCUUUGACAUCUUGACUAAAUCUAUUCUCUACAAAUUUCCCUUGAGGAGUAGGAGCAGUGUUAUUGCUUUGUAGUACACAUUUCAGUUUGCUGAUAAACGGGGAAGGUUCAGUGCUCUGGGUAAGUACAGCUGAGGUUAAUGUUGAAACAGUUUUGUCUUCUGUCUCUUUAAAAAAAAAAAAACACCACCCAAUCCUAUCCCAUCCUUAAACUCUGAAAAGUUUUGCUUGCAUUUCUUAUUAAGAAGGAAGUAAAUUGUGUUUCUCAGUCUCUGUUACUGUUGUUGUAAUGGGAAUGAAAGCUCUCACGAGCCGUUUCACUGGAUAUGCUAUUUUAAUAAGAAUGAGGUUUUAACAGAACCGGUUCCUCCAAGAAGAGCUUCUGUCAUUGUUUCACUACAGAGCCCAGUGGAGGCUCUUAAGGCCUAAGAGAGAGAGCAGGCAACUGAAUUGUCAUCUUUGUUUUGCACAGUUUCAGCCCAUCUGAAAUGCAGGACAAGAAGGAAGAAGUAGCAGGCAGCCUGCCCCCCUGAAUUAGGAUAUGUGCAAUUAUUUGUAUGCAUUCCUCCAUUGUCCAGAAAUUUAUAUAACUUGAAUGAACCCCCCCCCCCCUCAAAUUAACUCCCUUAUUCGGAGUAUAAAGGGAAUUGUUAUCCUUACCCUUUGGCAACUUGAUUGCUGUCUCUGCAGGAAUUUCCAUGGGUUGGUUUGCUUUGCUUUUAAUCCAUGUGGAAUGGAUCAAAGAAGAAAUUUGAAAUCUUUGCAUUCAUAAAUAAAAAUGCAUUUUUCAGGAUUUUUCUUUUGUUUUUUGCAAACUACCAUUCACAUCUGGAGGUGCAAAAACCUGGAGUUCUAGUGAGGUUAUUGAAAUUCUUGGUGUUAAUAAUGCCUAAAACCCAAAGUCCUCCUUGUUCAUAAGCUCCUUGUGUAUCCAGACUCACAAAACAAUCUGUUCCCCCCCCCCUUUUUUUUAAAAUUAAAGUAGCUUCAGGAAUUUCUUGUCUGCUAUCUGGUUUGCCCCACAACCUACCAAGACAGCUUAGUUUUGUUUUUUUAGCAGCCCUCAGAAUCGGCAUGAAAUUUUUUUUUUUUUUUUUUUAAAAUAUAAAAUGGAGAGACACCCCCGUACAUUUGCUGAACAGGUCAAUCAGGACAACCUUUUUCAAAUCUUGCCUUGGCUUCCAUGGGACAUUGAAUUUAUCGUUGAAAAGCAUUGAGUGAAGGAUGAUCCAAGGUCGAUUUUGCAGAGGGCAUUGUGGAAGUGGGGGGGAGGGAGGGGGCGGACUGGUGGGGAGAGCCACUUAAGGUAAGCCUCCCACUCUUCCAAGUUCAUUCCAGCCGCAGCUCGCUUUCGGCUCUAAAAGGCUGGAUGUGAAUCGGGGAGAGUUUUUCCUCUCUGUAGUGGAGCCAAUGACAGAAGCUCUUCUUUAGAAUUUCCAGGAUGGCUGUAUUCUGCGAUCAGAAUGAGACAGUCAAGCUGGGCAGAAUCCCAAACGCCAAGAUGGAAGUUGAUGGAUUGGAUCCUGGAUCAGAAGCCGACAAAUCUUGUUGCUAAAUAGCAUCAACCAUACAAAAAUAGCCAGUUGUGUCUCGGAUGGAGAGAAAGUAAAGUCAAGCAAUGGAGGAACAAGCUGGCAUGGUGUGACCUUGGAAUCUGCGCUCCUGUACUGUGAUCAGAGAUUUGCUUGAGGUCCUUUUUAUUUUAUUUUAUUUUGGCUUGCUUUUUUGGACCUCUUUGGGCCCGUGACGGAUGUCCAGCUGUUGACAUGUGCAUGUAAAAACUUGGGGGAGGAAUCCUACCGAAUAAGUUCUCAGUUGGAAAUUCAGAAUCAGCCACCUUGGGACUUAUUUGUGUCCUUGCCUUCACUUUUUAACUUGAUCCUGAGCCUCUGCUCCUUGUUUAAGAAGCGUUGACAACCCGUUGUUGUCCAGAACAUUGAUUUGCAAAGCCAGUUGUAGCCGUGGGGACUUCCUACAGACUCCGGAAAUCCACCCCAAGCGCCUCCAUCCUUUCGCAUUUUUGUGGUGGGCAACGGUACCUCUUGCCUUUGAUUAAAGAACCUUGAAGCCUCCAGAAUGUGUAGAUGUCUUUAUUGUUGGAAAUGCCCAGCUGGAAAAAAGUCUUCCAUCUAGCAAAGCCGUGUUAAACCAAAAAAGGAGGAAACACAACCUGGCCAUGAUGGGAGAUCAAUAUCCACCAAUGUUUCCCUCCUCCCUGGACUUUGUGAACAAACACUGGUCCUGCUUUUUCUUGUAAUAUUUGAUUUUUUUGUGUGUGUUCCUUUGCAAAAUGUGAGCUCGAUUUUGUGUUGGAAGCUCGAGUUUGGAUUCAGGCCUUGUGUAAUUCUUUUGUUGUGCAUGCCGAUUGUACGUUCUUCCACCGUUAUCUUUCUUUUCUUUUGUACAGUGUUUGUGACAUGCUACUUACUCACUUUUCAUAAGAUGCUACUGGUUUCUUUUUUUUUCCAAAUAAAAAGUUUCCUGCUUCCCAUUUA